CAAAUGUGGAGAAAGUUAAAGAAUAUGAAAGUAGGAAAAUUAGAAAGUAUAAAAAAAAGAAAGUAAAGAUCACAGCAGCGCAAACAAACGGAAAUUAUUACUCGAAAAAGGGAAAAUAAUCACCAUGGACCAGGUGUCAUUGGAAAAAAAGCAGGACAAAGCGAGGUCAGAAAUAAAAGACAGAGUAGAAAACAAAGUAAAAUAUCAUAAAGAGGUUAAAAAAGGGGGCCAAACACAUGCAGAGCAGGUUAGAGAUAAUGAGAACUGAAUAUGAAAGCAGAAAAAAACGAUAGUGUCAAAACAUAGAAAGUAAAGAUCGCAUUAGCUGAAAAAAAGAGAAAUUAUUACUCAGAGAAAUAACUAAAAGGCAAAUAGAGAUCAAAUAUAUGGACACAGGUGAUAUGUCAGAAGUAUGUAAAUAUUGUAAGGCUUUGAAGUUUAAGUCAGAAUUUCAAAAACGGGAUUUACCUCACAUGCAUUUAUUAGUUACUUUGCAAAAAAAAUUAUUAACUGCUGAUGAUGUAGAUCGCUUUGUCUGUGCUGAAAUUCCAAACAGAGAAACCUAUCCUGAAUUAUGGUACAAACUCAUUAAACACAUGUCUCACAGACCUCAUUUAAAAGAUUCAGCAUAUUGGGAC